CUACGGGGGGCACCAGUGGGGAAUAUUGGACAAUGGGGGAAACCCUGAUCCAGCAAUGCCGCGUGUGUGAAGAAGGCCUGCGGGUUGUAAAGCACUUUCGGUUGGGAGGACUGCUUCUAGCACUAAUAUUGUUGGAAGUUGACGUUACCUUCAGAAGAAGCACCGGCUAACUCCGUGCCAGCAGCCGCGGUAAUACGGAGGUGCAAGCGUUAAUCGGAAUUACUGGGCGCAAAGCGCGCGUAGGCGGCUAGAUCAGUCGGGUGUGAAAGCCCCGGGCUUAACCUGGGAACUGCAUCCGAUACUGUCUAGCUUGAGUACAGGAGAGGAGAGUGGAAUUCCACAUGUAGCGGUGAAAUGCGUAGAUAUGUGGAGGAACACCAAUGGCGAAGGCAGCUCUCUGGCCUGAUACUGACGCUGAGGUGCGAAAGCGUGGGGAGCAAACAGGAUUAGAUACCCGAGUAGUC
rnacentral:rRNA from 1 species